GGAAUAAAGACAAUAAACUGUACUAUAGUGUUUACAUCAGAAAUGCCUUCUUCUCUGAGAUAGGCAUCAGGAACUCAGCCAACAGCUGCAUUCUCCUCUUCCAUAACUUCAUGUUCAUUCGUGAGCACAGGCCUAGAGUCACUGAAUUGCCCAUUGGCUUCAUGGCCCUAAUAUACCUAGUGAUGCUGUUACUUGCAUCAUAUAUAACUGGAGAUUUUAUUAUGUCUUCAGAAGGUUGGAAUGAUAUCACAUGUAAACUCUUCAUUUUCUUGCAGAGGUUUUUCAGAAGCCUCUCUGUUUGUGCCACCUGCCUGUUGAGUGUCUUCCAGGCCAUCAUCCUUUUCCCUUAAAGCUCUCACUUAGAAACGUUCAAACACAAUUGCCCACAACAGCUUUUAUGUUUCUUUAUUUUCAGUCAUAUCUUAAUAGCAGCUAUUACCCCAGGAAAUCUCAGCUCUGUUAAUCCUAUAUAUAUCAUGAAAUCUUGCUUUUUUAUUCCCAUAAGUUCCUUAGUGCAGCACACUUCCUCCACACUGCUGGUUUUCAGGAAUGUCUUGUUUAUUGGUCUCAUGUGCCUCUCAACUUGCUAGAUGGUGGCUCUCUUGUGCAGGCAUAAGACUCAGUCCCAGCACCUUCAGAACUCAAACCUUUCUCCAGAGCAAAGAGCUCUGCGGAUCAUUCUAAUGCUUAGGAGCUUCUUCCUGGUGAUGUCAUGUUUUGACAGCAUCACAUUCUAUUCAAGUAUGACAUUCCAGGAAAAUCCAUUGAUAUAAUGUGUCCAGAUU
rnacentral:lncRNA from 1 species